rnacentral:rRNA from 1 species
GACGAACGCUGGCGGCGUGCUUAACACAUGCAAGUCGAACGAAGUGGCGAACGGGUGAGUAACGCGUAAUCAACCUGCCGUUAAGAGGGGGACAACAGUUGGAAACGACUGCUAAUACCGCAAACUGAAGGAGGGGAUUGCGUCUGAUUAGCUAGUUGGAGGGGUAACGGCCCACAAAGGCGAUGAGCAGUAGCCGGGCUGAGAGGAUGAACGGCCACAUCUGGACUGAGACACGGCCCAGACUCCUACGGGAGGCAGCAGGGGGGAAUCUUCCGCAAUGGACGAAAGGCUGACGGAGCAACGCCGCGUGAGUGAUGACGGCCUUCGGGUUGUAAAGCUCUGUUAAUCGGGACGCGGUACCGGAAUAGAAAGCCACGGCUAACUACGUGCCAGCAGCCGCGGUAAUAC